UACGUAGGGGGCAAGCGUUGUUCGGAAUUACUGGGCGUAAAGGGCGCGUAGGCGGUACGACAAGUCGGGAGUGAAAGCCCGGGGCUCAACCCCGGGACUGCUUUCGAAACUGUCGAACUUGAGUGCGGAAGAGGCAACUGGAAUUCCCAGUGUAGCGGUGAAAUGCGUAGAUAUUGGGAAGAACACCUGAGGCGAAGGCGGGUUGCUGGGCUGACACUGACGCUGAGGCGCGAAAGCCAGGGGAGCGAACGGG
rnacentral:rRNA from 1 species